UACGUAGGGGGCAAGCGUUGUCCGGAAUUAUUGGGCGUAAAGAGCGUGUAGGCGGCCAGAUAAGUCCGCUGUGAAAUCUCGAGGCUCAACUUCGAGCUGUCGGUGGAAACUAUCUGGCUAGAGUCCGGAAGAGGAGAGUGGAAUUCCUGGUGUAGCGGUGAAAUGCGCAGAUAUCAGGAAGAACACCCGUGGCGAAGGCGGCUCUCUGGGACGGUACUGACGCUGAGACGCGAAAGCUAGGGGAGCGAACAGG
rnacentral:rRNA from 1 species